AGGGAAGGGGGGAGGUAGGCCUAACACAUGCAAGUCGAACGGCAGCACAGUAAUAUUUUGCUCUUACGGGUGGCGAGUGGCGGACGGGUGAGGAAUACAUCGGAAUCUACUUUUUCGUGGGUGAUAACGUAGGGACACUUACGCUACUACCGCAUACGACCUACGGGUGAAAGCAGUGGAUCUUCGGACCUUGCGCGAUUGUAUGAGCCGAUGUCGGAUUAGCUAGUUGGCGGGGUAAAGGCCCACCAAGGCGACGAUCCGUAGCUGGUCUGAGAGGAUGAUCAGCCACACUGGAACUGAGACACGGUCCAGACUCCUACGGGAGGCAGCAGUGGGGAAUAUUGGACAAUGGGCGCAAGCCUGAUCCAGCCAUACCGCGUGGGUGAAGAAGGCCUUCGGGUUGUAAAGCCCUGUUGUUGGGAAAGAAAAGCAGCAGGUUAAUACCCCGCUGUUCUGACGGUACCCAAAGAAUAAGCACCGGCUAACUUCGUG
rnacentral:rRNA from 1 species